AAGCUGUUAUGCGGGCAAUCUCUUACCAACCUUUUAAACCUCGCCCAAGCAUCACUGAGCGAUUCGUCAAUAUACUGUUCGAAAUUAGUGAUCAACUUCCUCCUUCU